rnacentral:lncRNA from 1 species
AAUCUGAAAGAAACAGGAUGAGUUUCUGGAUGUGAAUGACCUGUCAAAGUGAAACCAAGACAGGAAAAAAAAAGAUUUACACAGAUCUGUAGCAACCAGCCAGAUAGAACUAGAAGCAGUAAUUAAAAAUUCCCCAACUAAAAAAAGCCCAGGCCAGAUGGAUUCAGUGCAGGAUUCUACCAGCCUUUCAAAGAACACACAGCAGCGUUCCUCAAACUGUAAUGUAAAAUAUGAAAGAGGGAGCAUUUCUAGAGUCUUCAGCCAGGGUGCCCUGCAAAGCCGCCCUUGUGUCCUCUCCCAACAACUUUGACUCAAGUUCCUCGAGACAGGCUGUUGUCUGACAGAGUCUGUCUAGGACCCAGGAGAGCCACCACAGCCAAGGGAAGACAGUGCUGUACUCUGACUGAGUCUCCUUGCAUAGAAGAGGCACCAGCAGCCAUGGAGGCCAACUUGGAAUCCUGCUGAAGCCUUAUCUGAGCCACAGUGACCAGCCCUCACCAUGAGCCACCUUAUUCUGUCCCAUCAAGAUGGGACGUGCAGAUGGAGAACUGCAGGUGACAUCAUGCUGUGUCUACAGCUGCUCCAGGGUGGGCAGUUAGGUCUUCCACAACUACUGGUAUGACUCUCUGCCUCAUCCUCCUGCAUCAAGAUGUGAGCUCUCAGCUACUUCCUCAGCUCCCUGCCUGCCUGCUGUCAUGCUCCCUGCCAUGAUGGUUGUGGACUCACCCUCUGAACUGUAAACCCACAAUAAACUAUUCUAUAAGUUG